UACGUAGGGACCAAGCGUUGUCCGGAUUUAUUGGGCGUAAAGAGCUCGUAGGCGGUUAUCCACGUCGGAUGUGAAAGCUCAGGGCUCAACCCUGGGACGCCAUUCGAUACGGGAUGGCUAGAGGUAGGUAGGGGAAAGUGGAAUUCCUGGUGUAGCGGUGAAAUGCGCAGAUAUCGUAAGGAAGACCAGUGGCGAAGGCGGGUCUCUGGACAGUUCCUGACGCUGAGGCACGAAGGUCAGGGGAGCAAACGGG
rnacentral:rRNA from 1 species